AUAAAAGUUAAAUUCAUGCUGAUAUAUCACGCUAGCUCUAUUGACCACAAUGACAAUAGGAUCUCUUAAAAUAAUUCAUAACCUAAUACAUGGUGAAUAGACACACUUGAAUACAUUGAAUUUUCAAGUAUGCAUGAAAGUCAUGUAUAUUCUUAAAUGGAGGUCUAAAAUGUUUAUAAUGAAUAAGGCACAAAAAGGAAAAAGGCUAGAUCCUGUGAUCCACAGAGUACCAUUACUUGUAGUGCACGUCAUUUUGAUUCACAACUCCGUAGGUUAUCAAAAGCACGCAUCUAAGAGGCAGCAACAGCACACAGCAGCCAGACU
rnacentral:lncRNA from 1 species